CCCCGGCACGCCCCACACGCCCCUGACCCUGGCUGGCUGCUCGACUCCGGGGGACUGGGGAGAGGAGAGCCAGCUCCUGAGUGACGGGACCCGGAGUACCCCCAGGGAAGCAGCGCGCGGGUAACGAGGAGCGCAGAGAGGAUCUGACUUUCCUUCGAGCUCCUGCAGCUCUGUUUGGGGGCCAUCGCCAGCUCCAUAACCCCGGCUUUCCCAGAGAACUGUGCCAAGUUCCUCCUUGGAGAGACAACCAGAUGGACACCCAGAACUUUCCCUACCUUCGUGUCGAGGUUGUCUCAAGUUCAUGUGGGAAAUAGUAUUGUUAAUUUUUAGGAUGAAAAUCUGGUUAAGAUAAAUGUAGACAUCGACAAGCACAAUCUACAAAAAGGAGAGAAAAGGAAAAGAAAUAACCUACUGGUGGUCCCCAAAGGGGAUGGAGUUUUAUAGAAAUGCAGAAGCCAAUACCCCUACAAGUGUGUCAUGUUUGCCUAAUGACAUUUUUAUAUCUGUUGAAAUAAGAGAGGGAGAAUGAAAGCAAAGAGCUCCAGUUCUGAAAAGAAGAUCAAAGUAAUAAGCCAGAAAGAUAAGGAGCAGUGGCUGCGCUUUGCUGGAGCAGCCCUGAAGAGAGACCCC